UAGGGAAUCUUCGGCAAUGGACGGAAGUCUGACCGAGCAACGCCGCGUGAGUGAAGAAGGUUUUCGGAUCGUAAAGCUCUGUUGUAAGAGAAGAACGAGUGUGAGAGUGGAAAGUUCACACUGUGACGGUAUCUUACCAGAAAGGGACGGCUAACUACGUGCCAGCAGCCGCGGUAAUACGUAGGUCCCGAGCGUUAUCCGGAUUUAUUGGGCGUAAAGCGAGCGCAGGCGGUUAGAUAAGUCUGAAGUUAAAGGCUGUGGCUUAACCAUAGUACGCUUUGGAAACUGUUUAACUUGAGUGCAGAAGGGGAGAGUGGAAUUCCAUGUGUAGCGGUGAAAUGCGUAGAUAUAUGGAGGAACACCGGUGGCGAAAGCGGCUCUCUGGUCUGUAACUGACGCUGAGGCUCGAAAGCGUGGGGAGCAAACAGGAUUAGAUACCCUGGUAGUCCACGCCGUAAACGAUGAGUGCUAGGUGUUGGGUCCUUUCCGGGACUCAGUGCCGCAGCUAACGCAUUAAGCACUCCGCCUGGGGAGUACGACCGCAAGAUU
rnacentral:rRNA from 1 species